rnacentral:rRNA from 1 species
ACUAACUAGGAUUCCCUUAGUAGCUGCGAGCGAACAGGGAAGAGCCCAGCACCGAAUCCCGCGGUCGUAACCGGCCGCCGGGAAAUGUGGUGUUUGGGAGGGUCCGCUAUCCCGAUGCUGUGCGAUGCGUCCAAGUCCUUCUUGAACGGGGCCACUUACCCAGAGAGGGUGCCAGGCCCGUAGUGACCAUCACCGGCAGCGGGAGGACUUCUCCUUAGAGUCGGGUUGCUUGAGAGUGCAGCCCUAAGUGGGUGGUAAACUCCAUCUAAGGCUAAAUAUAACCACGAGACCGAUAGCGAACAAGUACCGUGAGGGAAAGUUGAAAAGAACUUUGAAGAGAGAGUUCAAUAGUACGUGAAACCGUUCAGGGGUAAACCUGAGAAACCCGAAAGUUCGAAUGGAGAGAUUCAGCGUGUCUCCGUGUAGGCGAGGCGUGUUCGUUGCGACUUGGGCACUUUUGUGUUCUAGCGCUCGUCGCGCCCGUUUUCCUCUGCGGUACGCGUGCACUUCUCUCCUAGUAGGACGUCGUGACCCGUUGGGUGUCUAUCUAAGGCCCGCGGUGGAGCCCGUACCGUUCUUCGGUGCGGACCCGUGGUGUCCCGAUGGACUUGCCCGACGGUUUGAACGUGGCGCUGGACCGCGACCUGUUCGCGUUCGGAGCGACGCAAGCACGGACGGUUAUCUGGCGAUCGGACCUAGCGCCGAUUCCGGAGCCGCUCGACUGUUCGCGGCGUUUUUCUCGAACCGCGUCCAAUACGCGCUUGUCAACGACGCUAUUGCUUUGGGUACUUUCAGGACCCGUCUUGAAACACGGACCAAGGAGUCUAGCAUGUGCGCGAGUCAUUGGGACUUAAUAAACCUAAAGGCGAAAUGAAAGUGAAGGCAUGCCUUGCGCUUGCUUAGGGAGGAUGGGUCGUGCCACGGUGCGGCCCCGCACUCCCGAGGCGUCUCGUGCUCAUUGCGAGCUGAGGCGCACUCAGAGCGUACACGCUGGGACCCGAAAGAUGGUGAACUAUGCCUGGUCAGGACGAAGUCAGGGGAAACCCUGAUGGAGGUCCGUAGCGAUUCUGACGUGCAAAUCGAUCGUCGGAACUGGGUAUAGGGGCGAAAGACUAAUCGAACCAUCUAGUAGCUGGUUCCCUCCGAAGUUUCCCUCAGGAUAGCUGGCGCUCGCUCAUGCGAGUCUCAUCCGGUAAAGCGAAUGAUUAGAGGCAUUGGGGUCGAAACGGCCUCAACCUAUUCUCAAACUUUAAAUGGGUGAGAUCUCCGGCUUGCUUAAAGCAUGAAGCCGCGAGAUCGGAUCAGAG